CCUGCAGGGAAGUCACCACCAUCCCUGCGGGGUUGAGACUAAGCUAUAUUUGAGUGGAAUCAUUUCUUUGGUCUGCUGUUGGCACCCUGUCUGGGCAGGUACCUGUACACAUAGUACGCCCAGAGCAAGGUGAGGCCACCUGAGAAGUAGAAGACACUCUGCCAGCCACACUGGUCCAGGAGCACGGAGCCUACGCCCCCAGUCACCAGGGUCCUGGGAGACACAGAGAAGUGCUGUAGUGACCUUGGUUGCUAUCCUAAAAAGAGUCAAGCUCCCAGAGAGAGGCCGCUCGCUCGGAUGCUCCUGCCUGGAGGAUUUUGCUCUUCAGGGAGACUGGGGGUGGGACAGCUAGGGCAAGGGGAAUCUGGGGGCAGCUGAGGAGACUCAGCAUGGAAACUACUGCUGGGUUUUUCAUUUCUUCCUUCUAGAACUUCAAACUGGCCUACAAUUUGCCACGUGGACGCUCUCGUGGUGGUGGUGGU
rnacentral:lncRNA from 1 species